AACGAACGCUGACGGCAUGCCUAACACAUGCAAGUCGAACGAGAUCUUCGAGUCUAGUGGCGCACGGGUGCGUAACGCGUGGGAAUCUGCCCUUUGGUUCGGAGUAACAGUUGGAAACGACUGCUAAUACCGGAUGAUGACGAAAGUCCAAAGAUUUAUCGCCAGAGGAUGAGCCCGCGUAGGAUUAGCUAGUUGGUGUGGUAAAGGCGCACCAAGGCGACGAUCCUUAGCUGGUCUGAGAGGAUGAUCAGCCACACUGGACUGAGACACGGCCCAGACUCCUACGGGAGGCAGCAGUGGGGAAUAUUGGACAAUGGGCGAAAGCCUGAUCCAGCCAUGCCGCGUGAGUGAUGAAGGCCUUAGGGUUGUAAAGCUCUUUUACCCGGGAUGAUAAUGACAGUACCGGGAGAAUAAGCUCCGGCUAACUCCGUGCCAGCCGCCGCCGUAA
rnacentral:rRNA from 1 species